UUUUUUUAAGUAGUUCAGAGAUAAACGAAACUGAUACAGCUAUGUUUGUAGGUAUAUUGACGGGCCGUCCUGAAGAGGAGGUGUCCGGAUCAGCAAGUGAUCUGCUGCAAAGACCGUCGCAAGUGCACGAGCAUGCUCGGCUGGCCAUGCGGAGUGUUGCCAAGGCCUUAUGGCCAUCCGCCUCCCCUCCAGGAAGUAUGGAGGAGCUUGUAGAGUUGUUCAAGAGAGCGCGGCGGCGUAUCUGAUUAUGGAAGAUAUCGGCCUGCCGAGAGGGUGCGCGAGAGGCCUGGGCCAUGGUGAAAACGCGAUAUACCAAGCUGAAUCCUAAUCACAUGGCCCGGGUUGGACCGUUACGGCCAAAUGGGGAAGAAAUUCCCGUUAGUUUAGUAUAUGACCAAGUAGAGGUGGCCGCCAAAUAUUCCCAACAGGAUUGUAAGUUAGACUGCCUAUUAGAUGGUAUAGAGGAGGAAGUGUUUGAGUCCAAGUGACUAUGUACUUUCCUCACCAUGUGGAAUUCUAGCUGGAUUGUAUAUCAUUUGUCAUAGCAGACCUUUUCGCUUCAACCUCCGGACCCGAAGGUGCGAAGUGUUUCUGAAUACCGUCGCGGCCGAAUAGGCCGGGGUAUGCGUGGAAAACUAAGCGUAGGGGUCAUAGUUGCUUGAACAGACAAGUUGUAUCCAGCUAGUUAUGUUAUAUUACAUUGAGAUUGUAAGAAACAUCUUCCAGGGAGAAUAGUUCUGUUAAGGGUUCCUUUUCCUGGGUGUGCAUGCAUUAGUAGACAUGUCCGAAUUGUGAUGUGAAAUCACAGUGUGUAUAGCUUCUGGGGGUUCACAAUAGAGUGAGUGCAAAAAACAUUUUUCAUCCACCGACCGAAUAUUCCAUUAAGAACGCUAGCUUUCGGCUUCACCCAGUCUGAGGUACACAUCCGGAUGACCCGGCAGUAACAAUCGCAGAGGUGCUCCCUUUACCACCUAGCCGAACAAUUGGGAACGUAGGGGUAAGCACAGGAGCCAGGCAACCCAACUUGGCCAAAACUUAAGUCAUAUCGAUGCAUAUAAUGGUGAAGAAAAGACAUACGGGGAAAAAUGCGUAUGUGUGAUGAGCUUGACGCUCGGAAAAUAAUAUUAACAAGCUUCUGUUAAAGAAGCCCCCAGGUAUAAUGGACAUACAUAUGUAAAGAUGUGUACGUCAGCGGUGUUCGGUCGAGCCGUAUGAGAGCUUUAAAGCGAAAAAAAAUAAAGGUGGAAAAGAGAGAAAAAGUAAUGGAAACUACAGGGGAGAAGGGGACGAACAAAGAAUUCGGCGCUAGGCAUAAAACCUUCGUAGUCUGGCCGCGUUCCAGGGGUUCGGCUCUAGGCGAUUGUCUGAUGCAUCACGAAGACGGUACGCUCCGCCGGUAAGAACUUCGUCGAUUAUGAAGGGACCCUCCCAUUUGGGCUUGAGUUUGUCCUUUUUCUUCUCCGGCAAGCGUAGAACAAGUUCGCCAACGUUGUAUGUCUUGGCCCAUACUUCUCUGCUUUGAUAUCUUCGAGCCUGCUGUUGAUAAAAUGUUGAACGGGCUUUGGCGACGUCGCGCUCCUCCUCCAAGGCAUCUAGGCUGUCCUGCCGAUCCAACUCGGCCUCUUUCUCUUCGUACAUACGCACUCGAGGUGAGUCAUGUAUAAUAUCGCAGGGCAACACAGCCUCUACACCAUACACCAUGAAGAAAGGUGUGUAUCCGGUAGUACGGUUGGGCGUGGUCCGCAGCUCCCAGAGUACGGAGUCGAGCUCCUCAACCCAGUGCUUGUCUGAUUCCUUCAAAGACCGCACUAGCCUGGGUUUGAUGCCGCUCACAAUAAGACCAUUGGCUCGUUCGACUUAACGGUUUGUUUGCGGGUGGUAGAUAGAGGCGUAAUCGAGCUUAAUGCCCAGAUUAGCACACCAGGUUUUUACCUCAUCGGCUGUGAAAUUGGAACCGUUGUCGGUGAUGAUGCUGUGCGGGACACCAUAACGGUGCACCACGUCGGAUAUAAAUGCGAUCACCGGUCCGGACUCGACCGUUUUAACUGGUCUAGCCUCUAUCCACUUGGUGAAUUUAUCCACCAUGACCAGCAGAUAUUUUUUCUUAUGGCUUCCCCCUUUAAGGGGUCCCACCAUGUCCAAGCCCCAGACCGCAAAGGGCCAUGUAAUGGGGAUUGUUCGUAGGGCGGUUGGGGGCAUAUGGCUUUGGUUGGUGAAGAGUUGGCAUCCCACGCAGCGCUGGACGAGGUCCUGCACGUCUGCUCGGGCCGUAUGCCAAUAAAAUCAUGUCCGGAAGGCCUUGCUGACAAGUGCCCUGGCUGCGGCGUGGUGCCCACCGAGACCGGCGUGAAUUUCUGCCAAGAGUUGCCGCCCCUCCUCCUCGGAGAUACACCAUUGAAGGACUCCGGUAGUGCUUUUCUUGUAGAGCUCUCCUUCGUGAACUUUAUAGGCCUUCGAACGCCGGACAAUGCGGCGAGCCUCGUUCUGAUCUUCUGGGAGCUCCUUCCUAUCAAGGUAGGCCAAGAAUGGUUCGGUCCAUAGGGCAAUGACUGCCAUAAUGAGGUGGGCCGAUGGUGUUAUUUCGGUGGCUGAGCCUCCGAUGAUAUCAGCGUGUUCGCUAUCUAUAUUUGUGUUCGGAACAGGACUGUCAUUGCUGUCUCCCCCUUGCCACACCACGAAUGGCUUAAAGAGCCUUUCGAGGAAGAUGUUAGGUGGGACGGGGUCGCGCUUAGCGCCGAUGCAAGCAAGGACGUCUGCCGCCUAAUUACUUUCGCGGGCGACGUGAUGAAAUUCGAGCCCCUCGAACCGAGCCGACAUUUUUAAGAUGGUGUUGCGAUAAGCUGCCAUCUUUGGAUCUUUGGCAUCAAAGUCUCCAUUAAUUUGGGAUAUUGCGAGGUUUGAGUCCCCGCGCACCUCCAGGCGUUGUAUGCCCAUUGAUACGGCCAUCCGAAGGCCAUGUAACAAGGCCUCGUAUUCGGCUGCGUUGUUGGAGUCUAUGAAUAAUAUUUGGAGUACGUACUGGACGAUAUCUCCCGUGGGGGACGUUAAUACGACGCCCGCUCCUAGCCCCGCCAACAUUUUGGAGCCAUCGAAAUGCAUAACCCAGUUGGAAUACGCGCCGUACUCUUUAGGGAGUUCGGCCUCUGUCCAUUCGGCGACGAAGUCAGCCGGUACUUGGGAUUUGAUGGCUCGACGUGGUUUGUACGUGAUGUCGAAUGGAAGUAGCUCAUGGCCCAUUUAGCAAUCCGGCCCAUGGCAUUCCGGUUGUUUAUUAUAUCAUUGAGGGGCACUUCGGAAGCCACCGUGAUCGAACACUCCUGAAAGUAGUGUCGUAACUUUCGAGAUGCCAUCAAGACUGCAUAUGCUAUCUUUUGAUAGUGAGGGUACCGGGAUUUGCAUGGUGUGAGGAUGGUCGAUACGUGGUAUACCGGCUUUUGGAGCGGAAAUUUGUGUCCGUCCUGUUCUCGCUCGACGACGAGUACGGCGCUCACCACCUGGUGUGUUGCCGAUAUAUACACGAGCAUUGGUUCACCGACUUUGGCGCGGCCAGGAUUGGGUUGCUUGCCAGAAGGGCUUUUAUUUCUUCCAGUCCGGCCGUCGCCGCGUCUGUCCACUUGAAGUUAUCGGAGUGCCGUAGAAGGCGAUACAGUGGCAGCGCCUUUUCCCCCAACCUGGAGAUAAAGCGGCUCAAAGCUGCCACGCACCCAGCGAGUUUUUGGACUUGUUUAAGUUCGGUUGGCAUAGCCAAUUGUGACAGAGCUCGGAUUUUGGUGGGAUUUGCUUCAAUCCCUCUGUUGGAAACGAUGAAGCCCAGCAGUUUUCUGGCGGGGACGCCGAAGACGCACUUUUCCGGGUUAAGCUUGAUGCCGUAUGUGCGGAGGUUGUCGAAUGUGAGACGCAAAUUAUCUAUUAGUGUUUCAACGUGUCUGGUUUUGAUGACGGCGUCGUCCACGUAAGCCUCCACUGUCUUGCUGAUCUGCUUCUCGAGGCAUGUUUGGAUCAUGCGCUGGUAGGUGGCGCCGGCGUUCUUGAGCCCAAAAGGCAUGGUAUUGAAGAAAAACGGUCCGUAUGGCGUAAUGAAUGUUGUUGCGGCUUGAUUGGACUCCUUCAUUUUGAUUUGAUGGUAUCCGGAAUAUGCAUCAAGGAAGCACAGCGAGUCGUGUCCUGCUAUAGCGUCAAUGAUUUGAUCAAUGCGAGGGAGGGGAAGGGAUCCUUAGGGCAAGCCUUGUUAAGGUCUUUGAAAUCGACGCACAGGCGCCAGGAUUUAUCCUUCUUUGGUACCAUUACCAGGUUUACCAGCCAGUCCGGGUGUUUAAUAUCUCUAAUGAAUCCGGCCUCGAUGAGUUUGGCCAGCUCCUCCCCCAUAGCUUGUCGUUUGGGUUCGGAAAAGCGCUGCAGUGUUUGUUUGACCGGCUUGUAUCCCUUCAGUAUGUUGAGGUUGUGUUCGCCCAACUCGCGCGGGAUUCCUGGCAUAUCUGAGGGGUGCCAGGCGAAUAUAUCCCAGUUUUCGCGCAAGAAUUCUCAUAGUGAGGCGUCGACUGUGGGGCUGAGCUGUGCUCCGAUAGAUGCUGUCUUCUUCGGGUCUGUUGGAUGGACCUGAAAUUUGACUAUUUCUUCUGCUGGCUUGAAGGAAGUGGAUUUGGGUCGUUUGUCUAGGAUCACAUUGUCCGUGUCCACCGUGGAGCGUAGUGCGGUUAAUUCUUCGGCCGUGAGGGCCUCAGAUAAUGCCUCGAGGGCUAGGGAUGCGGUUUUGUUUUCGGCACGGAGUGCUAUGUCCGGAUCACUGGCGAGAGUGAUUAUGCCAUUGGGCGCGGGCAUCUUGAGUUUCAUGUACCCGUAAUGAGGUAUAGCUUGGAAGCGUGUAAAUGCAUCUCGCCCUAAGAGGGCGUGAUAUCCGCUAUUGAAAGGGGCCUCUUGGAAGGCUAUCUCUUCGGACCGAUAAUUCUCCGGCGUGCCGAAUACUACGUCAAGUGUGAUUUUUCCCGCACACCACGCCUCCCGACUGGGAAUGAUUCCUCGGAAGGUCGUACUGCUUUUCUCGAUGCGGCUCCUGUCUAUUUCUAUUUUGUGGAGAGUAUCUUCAUAGAUGAGGUUUAGUCCGCUGCCGCCGUCCCUGAGAACCUUUGUGAGCCGAAAGCCGUCCACGAUUGGGUUGAGGACCAAGGCGGCUGGUGCUCGGACUGUCCUGUAUUUUGGUUCGUCACCAGCGUUGAAAGUUAUGGCCGUGCCGUUCCAAGGGUUUAUUGCUGCGAUUUGGCAGACUUCGGCGAGUUCGCGGAGUGCCCUUUUGUGCCUAUUGUUUGAGGCGAAUGUCUCGAAGACCGUCAGUACUUCGGGGUUGUCGUUUUCUGGGGGGUGUUGUUCUAGUGUAUUCUUGGUGAGGAUAUCCUCGCCGCUCUUGGCCACUUGCCGGAGUAUCCAACAUGCUCUAAGGCUGUGGGUUGGAGCGUUAUCCGGUGUUGUGUGUAUUUUGCAUGGCCCAUCGAGCCAUCCUUCCAGAACGGUUCCGCGCCCCAUAAUGGGUUUUGAUUUCUUUGCUGUUGGGUCAGACGUCCCGAGAGGGUGUGUCCUUUUUGUUCGGACGAGGGGCCGGGUAGCGGCCGGUGGUUCCCAAUGAGCUGCCUGAGUUUUCUAGGCGCUUUCCAUUGCACAGUACCUUUGUACGAUGGUUGCUAAGUCGGCAAAUUUCAGUAUGCGGCGGCGAUUGAUGGCGUUAAGGAUUCCUUCGUCCGCGCAAUUUUUGCAGAACGCUGAUAUUGCGUCCUCGUCACGGCAAUCUUUUACCUUGUCCUUGACAAGGAGGAAUCUGGCCCAGAAGUGGUGGACCGUUUCCUGAGACUGCUGCUUUAUGCUUAUGAGAGCGUCUAUGUCCGGGUGGGUGGGUGGAAUUAAAUUCGAACCCUGACCUGACCGAUUAUCCGGAGUCUGGAGAGCCUCCAGACUUGUCAGUUCGGGCCCCGGAGUAUCUUCUGAUUGUUUAGGACUGCCGUCCGAUUCUAUGUUCGGAAGGCUGACCACAUCCUUUCGCUGGUGGGUAUCCGGUUCUUCCUGAUCGGUGAUCCGGAUAUAGUCUAUCUUCGACAUAGAAGAAGACUCGCCGUCCUGCUCCUCGACUACUGCUAUCUGAUGGGUGACCGGUGGAGUUCUGAUUUCUCCUUGGUCGGUUUUAGGCCCGAUCCUAUCGUAAUCUGUGGUGAUUCCCAAAGCGCCGACGCGAUCCAGGAGCUCUUUUAAGGACGAAAACUCUGUCGGAUCCAUCCGCUUGGAGUGUUCGGAGUUGAUGCGAAGGGGGUUUUCGAUGGCCCGAGAGGUCAUCGUCGGCUCGACGGCCGAACGGGCGAUCAUGGUGAAGCCACCCAGCCGGAGGAUCUGGCCUGGGGUCAGGACUCCCCCAGAGGUGAUGUCGUCUUUAAAGACAAGGCGAGCCAUCGAACCUUUUGUCGACGGCACAGUGGAACUCUCAAUGAAAGCACCAAUGUCGGUGUCAAAACCGGCGGAUCUCGGGUAGGGGGUCCCCAACUGUGCGUCUAGGAUCGAUAGUAACAGGAGACAGGGGACAGGAUGUUUACCCAGGUUCGGGCCCUCUCUAUGGAGGUAAUACCCUACUUCCUGCUUGAUUGAUCUUGAUGAAUACGAGUGUUAUAAGAGUUGAUCUACCACGAGAUCGUAAUGGCUAAACCCUAGAAGUCUAGCCUAUGUGAAUAUAGUAAUGAGUAUCUCUCUAUCCGGACUACGCUCUCCGGUUUAUAUAGACACCGGAGAGAUCUAGGGUUACAUGGAGUCGGUUACAUCAGAGGGAAUCUACAUAGUCGGUUGCCAAGCUUGCCUUCCACGCCAAGUAGAGUCCAAUCCGGACACGGGUACAGUCUUCGGCCUUCAUAUCUUCACAACCCAUCAGUCUGGCCCACUGAUAAUAGGCCGGAUGCCCGAGGACCCCUUAGUCCAGGACUCCCUCAUCUGCCUCAGGGCAGAAAGUUAAUUUUGAUAAAUCUUCCAUCUUCUUUGGGAAGGGGUGCGAUGAUACGAGGAAAGCUAUGUUAAGAAGUGUGAUUGGUAUUGCAAAUGAAGCUCUCAAUGAGAGAUACCUAGGGCUACCAACACUGGUUGACCGCUCGAAAGAUGGUUGCUUUGAAUACGUGACAAAUCAGUCAGCUGCCAAAACUCAUGGUUGGAAAGGACAAGGCCUCUCCAAAGCUGGCAGAAAAGUGCUUGUGAAAUCAGUUCUACAAGCGACUCCCACGUUUUCCAUGAGCUACUUCCAGUUUGCCAAAAAAACGUGCCGGAACCUGACAUCUAUUUCUUCAAAAUUUUGAUGGGGAGCGGAGCAUGAAUAACGUAAGAUUCAUUGGAUCGGAUGGGAUAAAAUGUGUCGUAGCAAGAGGACGGGGUAUGGGUUUUCGGGAUUUUGAGGCUUUUAACCAGGCCCUACUCGCCAAGCAAGCAUGGAGGUUACUCAUCACUCUGGAAUCACUUUGUGCUCAAGUACCAAAGGUGCGCUAUUUUCAGAAUACUGAGUUUCUUCACGCAGGCUGCCCCAAAAAUAGCUCUUUCACUUGGAAAAGCAUUAUGUUUGGCCGGGAACUGCUACAGUGCGGGCUGAUGUGACGCAUUGGGGACGGCAGAUCAGUCGACGCGUGGAUGCAUGGAUCCCCAAGGCCAGGUCUCGUCGGCCGCUGGGCGCACUUGACAAAACGAACAUAGUUACAGUGGCGGAUCUGCUUGAUUACUCUGGAAGGGCGUGGGAUGUGCAGACACUUGAAUGGGCGUUGUUGCCAGCUGAUAUAAGCGACGUCCUAAAGGUCCUAGCAGGUGGUAAGGGCAACUCUAGCAGAUCCCGCAUCUGGCCGGCCCGCAAAACACGUUUCUAGUUCGCUGAAAAAUGGCUUUGCGGACCGGCGCGGACGGCUGCAGAUGCAGACUUCACAUAAUGGAUCCGUAAAAAGGAUAUUCGCGGAAUAUGCUCUUUUACGGGUCGGCUUUGCUGGGUUUGAUCUGGCGCAGCUCCUCCCGGCCCGAAAAACCUAAAUUUGCAUCUUAAUUUGAUCCAACAUAAUCCAUUUUUUUGCUUUUUCAACAACAUUGGAUACAUAAGACAUCACCAAAUCUUUGUUAGAAUAGUAAGACCAAAGAAAACAAGAACAACAAGUAUGCAUUUUAGAAGAUUUCCAACUUCCAUAACUGCUCCCACUAGUUGGACUAAUAUCUUCUCCAUGCAUUCCUUGUUGAUCUGUGGAUUCUUGAUUUCACAUUCUUUUUUCUUUGGUUCGAAAGAAGUAGACGUUGCUUCCCCUCUAGUUGCACAUGCAGCCGCAUCAUUGCCUUUGAUUCUUCUAAGGAGUGCGUCAACGUCUAUUAAGUUUCUUCCUAUCAACAAAUCUAUGUAUUCGCCUUCCCAAAACCAAAAUGAGCAUCCAUCUUCCUACACACAUGAUGAUGUUCGACAUGAGCUACCGCAAUCGAACCAAAGAAUGAGCUAUCAAAAUGAGCCGAACGAAAACAGCACGUACCCCAUCGUUUUCGCACUUGAAGAACACCCAUCCGGGGUGCUUCGGCGUGCCCGAAGUUAGCCGUAGGACUGUCCGCGUGCAGUCGUCGCACUGUAUGAGCGGCAUCGGCGAGCCACAGAGCCGCUGCGCGAGUGUCGAUCCCGGUGGACGGCCGGACUAAUCCAUGCCCGCAAACCGUCGGCGGUGGCAGGAGGACGAACACGUACCUGCAUGCGGUGAUGCGACCUUGCCGGGGCUGCGGGAGAUGCUCCCUGACCAUUCCAUCGCUUGGUGCAGCCACCGGCGGCCGGAAAAGCCAAAUCCGGCGGCUCGUGAUGAAGGGCCGCGGAUCCGGAACUUUCCGGCCCGCCGACGCAGGAGGGGGGAGAGGGGAGGCCUCGUGCGUGUGGCGGCCUUUCGGCGUGCUCCCGCCGGCUGCUUUCGCCAGAAUCUUGGGUGGCGGCCUGGCGGCGGGGCGAGGGGGAGAGGGAGGUGGUUGGUGGGGAAAGCGCGGGCUGAAAUGUCCCCCCCACCCCCACCAACCGCUUCCGCUUAUAUGCAGAGCACCGCAGCGGCGAGGGGGAAACCCGCAUUUUUGCGGGUUAGGGCCGAGAUUUUGCCGCGUCCCUCAAAAUUUUUUGCGGGCCGGCCGCCUUCGUGGCGUCUGUUCGGGCGGGAUUUUCCGUGCCGACCCGCAUUUUGACGAUUAUUUUACGGGUCGGGGCUUUUUGCGGGGUCUGCUAGAGUUGCUCUAUUGAGCGUGCUGACUACCCACCAUGGAAUAACACUGAAAAUGGGGUAUUGCUAUGGAAAUUAAACGCUUGCGUUCAGGUUCGCCGGAGUCCUCAUUACAGCGCACCAGGGAUGGAUUGAGCUAUGGGAGACCAACGUCCCAGGCAAAGUUAAAAUACACGCCUAGAGAUUGGCCCGGAAUGGUCUGGCCGUAGGGGCCGAGCUGCAGCGACGUCAUAUUAAACAAGGAGCCACGUGCCCGGUUUGGGGAAGGGAAGAGACAUCCAUCCAUCGGUUUUGGGAAAUGUCCCCAUGCUCGGCACGUGUGGUCAGUUGUUAAUGCAGAUAGAGGAGAUGACAUGUUCUCAGUGCCAGAGACAAUACAUUUUCGAAAAAGAACACUUUGUUACUUAAAAGAUUUAAGCAUUACAUUUGGUUUCUGCAUAACUAAGAUGCACACAGACAAUGCCAGAGGCAAUACAUACACAACAUCAGCUAGGCGGUGACUGCUGGACUGGUUUGACAAAGCGUUUGAAGCGAAUAAGGCCGUCUUUAUGAUGGUGCUUUAUCACAUGUGGUUAGCAAGAAAUGCGACAAGAGACGGAAAGCUCAUUGAGGAUUCUAGAUCCCUGGUUGAUCGUGUCUGGGCACUGCUGGAUGAAUGGGCUAAUGUCCAUGCUUCACCGGUUACCACACAAGGAGGAACGCCAACGUAGGAGUAGCACCCCCCGGACCAAGGAUGGCUGAAACUUAAUGUUGAUGGAGCGACAACGAAGGUGGAUGGCUCAGGAGGCGGUGGAGCGGUCGUACGCGAUCAUCAUGGUGUGUUCGUGGGAGGUUCAUGCCAUUUUUUUCCAUCCGUGAAGAACCCAGAACAUGCAGAGCUGUUGGUUUGUCGGCACGGUGUCCAGCUCGCCAUUGAGGUGGGCGCUCGGAGGAUUGUCUUGGAGACAGACAAUCUGGGAGUCAAACAAACAUUAUGUUCGAUGAAGCUAGCUAGAUCCCGGUACGGCCCCUUCAUAGAAGAGAUUAAGGAGCUUCUUGACUCUCGGGAUGAAUUCCGUGUGUGUUGGGCUAGGCGUUCCGCGAAUCGCGCGGCACAUAAUCUAGCUAGGGAUGGUUGCCUUAAUAAGUUGUGCAAGACUUGGUUUUCGAUUCCUCCUCCUUGUAUUCAUGACAUUGUUGUGGCUGAGGCCACUUAGUUAACUAGAAGAUACCUCGUGUGUUGCUGCGGAAAUCAUGAUAAAACCAAGCAAAAAGUAGCCUUAUAGAAAUAUCUUUUCAAAGAAAAAGAGGAGUUACGAAACUUGUAAUAUAGAUACAUGAAGCAAUUUAGUAACCCUCCUCAACAGUAACAAAAGAAGUCAUAUUCUCAUAAACCAUCUCGGCGACGAGGGAAUAUCUACAAACUAAUGGGUCGAAGCAUAAAAUGAAUCAAUUGUUGUAUGUACCUUGUAUAUAUCGAUACAUUUGAUGAACUUGAUACAUUUGAUGAACUUUGCAAUGAACGGUGACAAACCAGAGAUAUAGGUUGUAUCAGUACAACCAUUAACUUAUAACAUGUUCCUUUUUAUCCCCAAUUAAAGAAAUCACUUGUAUGUAAGAGGAUCCAUAGAUAUGAUCCCUACAAUGAAAAUAGUGACAAUUAAAUUUAUGCAAAUGGUGGACCAAAAUGUUACUUUUGUGAAGUCAAUUAACGUAUUUUUUCUCACAAAAAGAAAAUAAGUUUUUUUUAGAAAAUUAACCCAAUCGGUAAGAAGGUUUGUAUGGCGCAACAAUAUUAUCCGAUAGGUUAGUAACACAUGUAAGAAAUCAAAUGAUUUUGCUAUCUAAGACAUCCAGAAUCAAAUGCAAAGUGCAUGAUAGUGCAAAUAAAAAAUUAAAAUAAAUGGUAAAAGAUGGGGCUCGUAUGUACCAAACCUGCCAGAUGGUUAUGUAUGAAUUUCAGAAUUAGGAUUAGGUUGCAGAUCAAGAAGCUUCAAUUCAUUGUUAGACCCUUACCUAUCCAAAGAACAACAUAGAAUUGGUUUGCACAUAGGUUGCAGCAUGUACAUCUGCAGAAAAAAAUACAGUUCAAGAACAACACGAGGACUUGACCUUAAACUGCAGAAGCGUUCUUGCUGUAGUCUGUAGGCCUCCGUCUUCGCCCAGUUGAAGCUAGCAAGCACCUCGGAACUACCAGCAAGUGCCAAGAAACAUGCAAACACCAUAUGACAACACAAAAUCAAGCCAAUCAGAAGAAAGCAAGCAAACCAGGACAGAUUGGAGGCUCGAGCUCACCAUUGAUACCGAUCUUGAUCAGAGUUGUGCAAACCAUGAAAUCAGAAAAGCAGAAGAUUAAUCAUCAUCCAAAGCACCACCAGAAAUCAAAAACUGCAACAACUAAUAAGUGCAUGAAGUGGUAGACUGGUCUUGGAGCUGUGCAGACCACGAAAAUCCAUAAAAUAGACACAAGAUCAAUCAUCCAAAGCAGCACCAGUAAUCCGAAACUACAACAACUAAUAAGUGCAUGAAGUGGCGGACUGGCUGGCCAAUCAUGAGGAGAAGAGACGCUCACGCUCUUCUUCAGUUGGGCUUGCGGGCUUUCAUAUAGACGUCGAGAAGGCAGGAGGAUGCCAGCGAACUUCUCCUUCCUGAACUCAUCCGCUGGGACCGGGGCCAUGACGGGGAUGGUCGUGGUACGUCUGAGGCCAUCGACGCGAGAAGGGCAUGUAGCAGAGCAACGCGUGCGCACAUGUUUACUGGGCAUCACGGGGCUGGCCGCGUCAGGGGCGGCCGAAGCCACCGAUCGUCAGGAGGCAUGGAGCAGAGCAUCCCACUGGAAUCAGAACCACCACAGUGAUGGCCGGGUCUGGUGCGCCCGAAGAAGCCAGUGCGAGAAAGGCCCGAAGCAGAGCGAUGCGUCCGAGGUUGCUGGUGCGAGGAGGGACGGGAGCAGACCAACGGCCUGCGCACAUGUUGAUUCAGCUGUGCGGGGAUGUUCGCAUCCUGUAGGAUAGCUAGAGCUCCGAUGCGCCUACAAUCAGAGGGCAUCAGCGUCGAAUUGCAACAAUCGUGGUACUGGAGGGACAGCAAGAUUGGGCAUAGCAAAGUGGUGGGGAAGGGGAAGAAUAAACAGCGGCAAGGAGGGGAAGCCUAGAAGGCCAGCCCACUCAUUUGGGCUUCAUAACUGUAUUGAUUGGAAGUCGGAAGUAGAACAUGCGCUGAUGUGCGGCAUGUGCUGGUGAAUUGUGUAGAGGUGAACAGAGAGGAGGUUGCCUUGAAUCCGAUGGCUACCUAUAAUGCAUGCCUUGAUCUAUGGCUAGAAUUAAUUAGGGUGACGUGGCUUAAGAAGAAGUAAGAGAAUUCCUUAUAAUGGGAGCUCCUAUUUAUAUAUAGUACUCCCUCCAUUCCCUUAUAUAAGACCACUAUCAAAAAUACAUUUUGCAUCAAUACAAGGCCACCAACAGUAAUCGAGGCAAAAAUUAAUGAUAUUUCCUCGUACUAGCAACUUUUUAAUACUUACAUGCAUAUAGUCAUAAUGACACUUAACCACUUCUUUCCCAUUCAUUCGUUGCAUGCUUGUGGUGUAUUAAUGAUCCCGAUUAACGAAAAGAAAAGUUGACUUCCAAACGAGUCAUUAAAUUUUAUCUUGGUACAUGUAAUAUGAGUUUGGCCUUGUAUAAGGGAAUGGAGGGAGUAGAUAAAUUGGCAGCGACGGUCCCCUAAAAAAGACAAUGGUCAUAACCAUUAAUAAAUAAUAAUAAUAAUUUCAGAUAUCCUUAUUUAGUACUCGGGCUCACGUAGCUGGCGCCUCCUCUCCCAAGUUUAGGUUUUCUCCGCCUCCCCCCGACGCCGCCGCCGGUCCGCCUCGUCUCUGGUGGCUUUAGGGCCAUGGAAGCGCGGUGGAUCCCGGCCCUCGUCGAUUUAUAUGGUAUUUUAAGUUUUGUUAGGGUUUGUGCCCUGCUUAGGAAGGCAAGAUAGCGGCGGCUCCUGAAGAUGGAAUAAGGUUCUCCCCAUCUAGCCCCCGUUCUGGUGGUGCGUAUAGCAUCGUUAGUGAGCAUAUGGAGAUGUGUCUCCGACGGAUCUAUCUUUGGUGGAUCUGCUCGAAUUUGUUCGUCAUUCGUCUACGUUUGCGUGUCUUUAGAUUGGAUCCUUCCGGUCUAUACUACUCUUUAUCGGCGACGGUAGUUAUGGUGCGCUGGUCCUGCGGGCCUUAGCACAACGACUUUCCGACUGUCUAGUACAAUAAAUUUUGCUAGAUUCCGAUGAGGGAGGGACGAUGACGGCAUCGCGCUUUUCUUGUAGUCGUCGCUAGAUAGUUUAUGAAUCUGGAUGUAAUUUUUAUUAUUUCUGAUGUUCGUUGUACUGCCGCGAUUGAUUUUGUUUUUUGAAACGAAGCUACACGCACGGAGGACGGAGCGUCUUUGGCUUUUUGGGUGCAUCAGCUUGGUUCCUAGCAUAGGUUCUUAACUGAUGCCAUGUACUUCCUUCCGGCCCCCUCCCCUCUGUUUUCUACUUCCUUUAGGCAACUUUAUGGCCUCUGCACCACAGUGCGUAACAUAAGUUUCUUAUAAGUGAACUUUGAUCACCGGGCUGUGGCCUGUUUUGAAAUGCAUAAGUAGAGUGAGAUAUACUUUUUAUUUCAAAAGAAAAAAAACAUAAUUAAACAUGAAUAAAUCGAAAGUUUUCUCAAAAAAAAUCAGAUAUCCUUGAAUCUCCCAACAUCACUCAAGCAACAUUAAAAUCUUCUCGCCUCAUGCACUCAAAUCUUCUCGUAUAGAUCCUGCAAAAAAAGUCUUCUUGUAUAGCCGUAUCCCGGUUUUUUUCUUUUUUAAACACGGGAAGGGGACUAGAAAGUCCCCGAAGCUGCUUCACAUAACAAAAGUGACAGUACACCAUAAAGAGGACCCUGGGAGAACUGCAGUUAGAGACACGUCCUCUCUAUUUGCAAACAGGACCCUAAGGUAAAAAUAAAACGGUUUUGCUAUUUUUCAUCCGGCUGAAUUCAAUUGGGCUUUCAUCCGGUUUUUUAGCCAUGCGAUCUAUGUGCCGUGAUUCGUGUUUUUUUUUGUCCCGCUGUUGCCAUUUUUUCUUACGGUUUUGCUAUUUUUCAUCCGGCUGAAUUCAAUUGGCUUUCAUCCGUUUUUUUAGCCGUGCGAUCUAUGUGCCGUGAUUCGUGUUUUUUUUCCCCACUGUUGCCAUUUUUUCUUAUCGGGCCCUUUCCUGGAGACCCGAUACGCUUCCUUUGCUAUCGCCCGCAAUCGCCCGCAUAGUUGGGUUGGCCCGUUCCCCUCCUCCUCGUUUCCCCUUCUCAUUUCACAGACGCAACUAGAACAGAGCGAGGGAGAGACAGUCAUGGCGAUUUGGAGCUCUCCUCGACGCCCGAUUCAGUACAGUGGUGGCCCGGCGUCUGGCUGCCCCGCCCCCUCCGUCUGCCGCGCUUAUUUCCCACCGNNNNNNNNNNNNNNNNNNNNNNNNNNNNNNNNNNNNNNNNNNNNNNNNNNNNNNNNNNNNNNNNNNNNNNNNNNNNNNNNNNNNNNNNNNNNNNNNNNNNNNNNNNNNNNNNNNNNNNNNNNNNNNNNNNNNNNNNNNNNNNNNNNNNNNNNNNNNNNNNNNNNNNNNNNNNNNNNNNNNNNNNNNNNNNNNNNNNNNNNNNNNNNNNNNNNNNNNNNNNNNNNNNNNNNNNNNNNNNNNNNNNNNNNNNNNNNNNNNNNNNNNNNNNNNNNNNNNNNNNNNNNNNNNNNNNNNNNNNNNNNNNNNNNNNNNNNNNNNNNNNNNNNNNNNNNNNNNNNNNNNNNNNNNNNNNNNNNNNNNNNNNNNNNNNNNNNNNNNNNNNNNNNNNNNNNNNNNNNNNNNNNNNNNNCGGCGCUUCCGUUCCUCUGAUUCGGUAUUCUCGUCGAUUUGUGCCAUUCCCAGAUCUGUUUGUUAGCUGCGUGUAGAGUUUUCUCGGCCAGAUCUUGUUGUUUGUGGUAGUUGCAUGUGUUACCCGCAGAUAUUUUUUGUAGAUGUAUGUGGUUUGUGUUGUUCCUUGAGUAGAUCACUGAUAUUCAUGUUAAAAUUAGACUAGAAGUACACUUAUCCCUUCGGCGUCUGCUAGUUUGGUAGGUUGUUGUUCGUCUGGUCUGUGUUUUGAUGUAGAUGGCUGGGAUUGGUGGGUUAAGUUUCGUGAUGUGUAAUUGGUGUACUCAAUUUAUUCAGUUUAGUAGCAAUGAUUUUGGACUGUAAUUUUUAGUGGUUUUGGUUAGUGAUUUGGACUGUAACUGUGAAUGAAUUGGACAGUGAUGUGUCCUGAAUUUUUCCAGUUAAGUAACAUUGAUUUGGACUUCAAUUUUCAGUGUUUUGGGUAGUGAUUUGGACUGUAACUUGUGAAUUGGACAGUGAUGUGAUUUAAUUUUUUCAGUUAAGUAACAAUGAUUUGGACUGUAAUUUAUAGUGUUUUGGUUAGUGAUUUGGACUGUAACUUUGAGUUAAUUGGACAGUGAUGUGGACUGAAUAUUUCAGAUAAGUAACGGUGAUUUGGCCUGUAGUUUCAGUCUUUUAUUAGUCUACCUUACACUGCAAUUUUUGAGUGUUUUGUUCCAUUGGCUUGUAACUUCAGGAAUGUGUAAGUUACAGUGGUCUACUCUGAAUUUUCCACUUUUUCCAGCACACUACAUUAAACUUAAUAUCAGUGUACUUAUAGUCUAAUUUUAAUGUGAAUUUAACCUUGUAACUUACUAUAUGUUAUAAAAUUUCCAUUGAUCUACUGUUUAGGAGUGAAUUUUCCAUCUAAAUUCCGUCUGCCAUGUGAGAGUCAGAUUAGGGUUUUUCUGUACAAUUUUUUUAUUUGUUUGUGUUUAGGUUGGGUGAGCGCAGAUGGUCAUUUUGAUCUGUUUUGAUUGUUCUAGGUGUGUGAGUUGGGCAGGUUUUGUGCUCUUGUACUUCUGAAUGUGUCAUGUCUGGCCAUUUUGGGAUCUGAACAUCACAAUUUUGGGACUAAGUGUGAUGUCUGUCCUAACUUGGGCAUUUAUGUUGCUACUGGAACUGCAAAUCACAAUUAACAAGGAGAUUAGGACUGUGAUAUUGCACUGAAUGUCCUCAUUAUCUGGUGCCCCUGUAACUAACGGCAUAUCCGUUAUGUGAUCUGAAAUCUUUUUGAUUGUAGUCUGGUAAUUCUUAGUGGAUUUCGUAGUGUAAUUACUUUAUCUUUUUAGUGUAAUUACUAUAGUGUAACUACAGUGAUUGCAUCUAAUCUUUUUGAAUGUAAUCUAGUAAUCCUAGUGGAUUCACACUGUAAUUCUCAACGGAUUUUCACUCUAAUCCCCAAUGGAUUUACACUGUAAUUCUCACUGGAUUUUACAGUGUAAUUCCUAGUAGAUUCUAUAGUGUAAUUCCUAGGGGGUUUACAGUGUAAUUCUUAGUGAAUUUACACUGUAAUUCUUAGUGGAUUUGGUAUGUAAUUCCCAUUUUUAGCAUGUAAGUGUUCAUGCUUUUCCCCUUUUUUAGCUACAUGCGCUAGUUCGGCGUUGGAUUUUGCAUCCUUCAGUUGUAGCUUGAUGUAAGAUCGCUCUGCCCUGUAUGUUUGCUUUGAUUUUCUCAAGUUUGGAUAUGUCAUUUUAGGAACUAGAGAUUCAGUUGCUUUGUGUUUUCAUUGUCCCCGUUGGUGCGGAUAGUACAUUGUCCUGAGCAUGUCGUAGUGUCAUGAUUUUCUCCACCAUUUCUUAGUUUCUUGUAAUGUUUAUUUUUAUUGUGGCUUGUAUAUGAAUUCACAGUGGAUUCGUUGGUGUAAUUUUAGCUGUAUUUUAGUGUAAUUUAGAGCAAAUUAGUUUUUACCAGUUAUGUAUGUAUUCUUGCUUGAUGCUAAUGUUAGUUUCUGUUUGUUUUUUUCCAGCGUGUUUUGGAUAGUUUUUUAUUUGUUAGGCUCUUUAGUUAAUCUUCUGUAAUACAAUUCUAAUUGAAGUAGGUUUAAAUGUUACAGCUAUAUUUUACUGUGAUUUUUAUUAUAUGCCCCUGCGCCCACUUCAAAUGUAAUUAUAUCAUUUUUGUGCCUGCAAGCAACACAAUAUAAUUGCUUUAUUUUGUGUACCUACAGUUGCUAGGUUCGAGUUUUAUUGUAUGCUUUGUAUGCUUACCGUUUUUCUCUUCCCCGCUGGUGUUAGGAGGUGUUUCUGCAUAUUUGAAUUCAUUGUUCUGGUCAGUACUAUGCCAUUCCAUGUAGUUUGUCAUGUCAGGCUCAGGCUCCACGUAUUGUUGCUGCACAAAGUAAAUCAAUGUUAUAUCAUUAGUCGAUGAAUAGUGUCGGUAGAUUUUCUCUAUUUUAGUUUUCUAUGUAUUUUUGCAAUGCAGCUACGCUUUGUACAUCAUUUGUGCCUGAAGUAGCUCAGUAAAAGAGUAUGAUCCACUUUGUUAUUUGUCAGGAAACUAGUUAGAGAAAGCAUGUUUUUGAUAAUGUUUUUUGUUUUCAGAAUUGUUUUCUGCUACUAGUGUGACGCCCGGAUAAUAAAGCUACAGUAACCCUCUACUAAUGAUGCCACGUCACCUCGGUUAUUGUUGUUAAUCUCAUGUUAGUUCGAGACCGAUUCUAAUUCAAAUCCAAAAUCAAGCAAACAAUAAAAGUUUUCAAAUAUUAAAAUUAAAUUGUUCGGAGUGAACCAAAUAUUGCAUAGAUAAUUAUGGUGGAGAAACCACACCUUUAUAAAAUGUUUAAAUAAUAUGAGAUGAAUAAAACAGCAGCAAAAUAAUUAUUUAAAAAACCUUUUGUAAUUAAUAAAAUGUCAAACUAAUUUAUUGAGGACUGGACUUUUGAGUAUGGACUAAUUUGAAAUACUNNNNNNNNNNNNNNNNNNNNNNNNNNNNNNNNNNNNNNNNNNNNNNNNNNNNNNNNNNNNNNNNNNNNNNNNNNNNNNNNNNNNNNNNNNNNNNNNNNNNNNNNNNNNNNNNNNNNNNNNNNNNNNNNNNNNNNNNNNNNNNNNNNNNNNNNNNNNNNNNNNNNNNNNNNNNNNNNNNNNNNNNNNNNNNNNNNNNNNNNNNNNNNNNNNNNNNNNNNNNNNNNNNNNNNNNNNNNNNNNNNNNNNNNNNNNNNNNNNNNNNNNNNNNNNNNNNNNNNNNNNNNNNNNNNNNNNNNNNNNNNNNNNNNNNNNNNNNNNNNNNNNNNNNNNNNNNNNNNNNNNNNNNNNNNNNNNNNNNNNNNNNCCCUGUUCCUCGGUCUCAGACCGCAACAGGGGCGUCGCCGCCGAACCAUCUCGCCAGCCACGCUGCUACAGGCGCCGCGGGGAGGAUAAGGACGCCAGCGACGGCCCCCCCUGCCUCCUCCGAGAGAUCUUUUCCCCCCUUCCCCACGAGCUGCUGCUUGCCCUCUCCGCCUCUCCCAUUCCCCACCGCAUCCGAGCGCUGCCGUGGCCUUGCCGGCGUAACACACGCGGUCCCCGACACCGCCUCGCCUCUCCUCCGCGCCAAGAAGGAUCGCCUCGACCUCCUCUUCCUCCCCGACGAAUCACCCGAGCAGGAGCGCCUCUGCAUCAUCCCCUACGUUGCCGUCUUCCUCCUCUUCUCCGACGAGCUUCGCCGUCGAUUCCGCCGCACCGAGCCCUCCUUGAGCAUGCUUGAGCACAUCUGCAGGAGCACUGUGAGCCUGCGCUUCUUUCCCCUCUCUCUCCUGAGCUUUCCGACGCCCGUAGCCCCGUUCCUGUAGCUCGCCCGAAGAACCUCGCCGCCGACGAGCUCGCGCCGUGGCCAUGGUCGCCUUCACAUGCGGCCGAGCGCCGCAUCGUGCUCCUGGGGUUCCUAGUGGCCCAACGCGCGCGUCUGCUGCUCUCGCCGUGCCCCGUAGCCCCUUGUUCGCCGCUCACCGAAAACCCACCACCACCUGCCUCGCCGCCGGCGACGUUCCCGGCCGUCCCCAGCCACGCCACCACCUCCAUUCGACGCGGUGUGGACUGGCCGUUCGAAUGGGCCAAACCACAGCCCCGGGGAUGCCCUGUGGGCGAAACCCGAAGCUCACCCGCGCCUCGCCGCUGCAUUGGAGCUCGCCGGAGCCCCUCUCCGGUGCCCUGCCGACGUGGCCGGCCGGGCCCCACCCCUGGCUCACUGCCAGUGGGCCCCACGGCCCCCAGUUGACUGGGUUGACCCAGUCAACUGCUGACUGGGCAGCCCAGUGCCACUGACAUGCAGGCCCCGCCGCUUAAUUAAACUAAUUAAAAUGUUUUAUAAUUAAAAAUAAUUAGUUAAGCUAAAACAGUCACUGACAUGUGGGGCCCAGCUGCUAAUUAGCCAUGUUUAAUUAAAAUAACCCACUGUCAGUCCACUGUCGAUGACAGGUGGGACCCACUGGUCAGUUUGACCUGGUCAGCGAGUCUGUUGACUGCUGACGUCAUAUUCCUUUUCUGUUAAUAUAAAUAAUUCCAGAAUAUUGUUAAAUCUUUCAAAAAUCAUAUAAAAUAAUCCGUAGCUCGGAUGAAAAUGUUUUCUAUAUGAAAGUUGCUCAGAAAAAUCCAACGAAUCCGAAUACGCGGUCCGUUCAUUUGUCACAUGCCUCUAGCAUGCUGAACAUGGAACUUUCCCCCUCUGGUCAUCUGUCUGACACAGGUCCGGAACCGGGAACCCCUUCCCGGUUGAAUUCCCCCUUCACCUAUAUCGUGUAGCCAUACGUUAGGUCACACCUGGCACAUCAUAUUGCCACGUUAUGCUUUGUGAAGCUAUGUUUGCUUUAUAUUUACUGUUUCUUCCCCCUCUUCUCUCCGAUAGACCCCGAGACCGAUGUUGCCCCUAUGAUCGACUACGUCGACGACGACCCCCUCCUUGCCAGAGCAACCAGGCAAGCCCCCCCCCCUUGAUCACCAGAUAUAGCCUAUUCUCUAUACUGCUUGCAUUAGAGUAGUGUAGCAUGUUACUGCUUUCCGUUAAUCCUAUCCUGAUGCAUAGCCUGUCAUUGUUGCUACAGUUGUUACCCUUACCUGCUAUCCUACUGCUUAGUAUAGGAUGCUAGUGUUCCAUCAGUGGCUCUACACUCUUGUCCGUCUGCCAUGCUAUACUACCGGGCCGUGAUCACUUCAGGAGGUGAUCACGGGUAUAUACUAUAUACAUUAUAUACAUGACACAUGUGGUGACUAAAGUCGGGUCGGCUCGUUGAGUACCUGCAAGUGAUUCUGAUGAGGGGGCUGAAAGGACAGGUGGCUCCACCCCGGUAGAGGUGGGCCUGGGUUCCUGACGGCCCCCGACUGUUACUUUGUGGCAGAGCGACAGGGCAGGUUGAGACCACCUAGGAGAGAGGUGGGCCUGGCCCUGGUCGGCGUUCGCAGAUACUUAACACGCUUAACGAGAUCUUGGUAUUUGAUCUCAGUCUGGCCAUUUGGUCUAUACGCACUAACCAUCUACGCGGGAGUAGUAAUGGGUAUCCCGGCGUCGUGGUAUCAGCCGAAGCCUUCGUGACGUCAGCGACUGAGUGGCGCGCGCCGUGUUGGACCGCUUUGACGUAACCGCCGUGAUCGUGUGGGUUGCUAGGUCUGCUCGCGGCCGCGUUCGCAACGUGCAGGUGUGCAUAGGGCGAUGGGCCCAGACCCCUGUGCGCUUAGGAUUAGGCCGGCGUGCUGACCGCUCUGUUGUGCUUAGGUAGGGCUGCGACGCGUUGAUCUUACGAGGCCGGGCAUGACCCAGAAAAGUGUGUCCGGCCAAAUGGGAUCGAGCGUGUUGGGUUAUGUGGUGCACCCCUGCAGGGAAGUUUAUCUAUUCGAAUAGCCGUGUCCCUCGGUAAAAGGACGACCCGGAGUUGUACCUUGACCUUAUGACAACUAGAACCGGAUACUGAAUAAAAUACACCCAUCCAAGUGCCAGAUACAACCCGGUGAUCGCUCUCUAACAGGGCGACGAGGAGGGGAUCGCCAGGUAGGAUUAUGCUAUGCGAUGCUACUUGGUGAACUUACCAUCUACUCUCUUCUACAUGCUGCAAGAUGGAGGCUGCCAGAAGCGUAGUCUUCGACAGGAUUAGCUAUCCCCCUCUUAUUCUAGCAUUCUGCAGUUCAGUCCACCGAUAUGGUCCUUUACACAUAUACCCAUGCAUAUGUAGUGUAGCUCCUUGCUUGCGAGUACUUUGGAUGAGUACUCACGGUUUCUUUUUCCCCUCUUUUCCCUUGUCUAUACCUGAUUGGCGCAACCAGAUACUGGAGUACAGGAGCUAGAGAUCCCGAGGAUGAUUCUACAUGGAGUUCGGCUUCGAGGAGUAGUUAGGAGGUCCCAGGCAGGAGGCCUUGCCUUUUCGAUCGUCGCUACUUUUGUGCUAGCCUUCUUAAGGCAAACUUGUUUAACUUAUGUCUGUACUCAGAUAUUGUUGCUUCCGCUGACUCGUCUAUGAUCGAGCACUUGUAUUCGAGCCCUCGAGGCCCCUAGCUUGUAUUAUGAUGCUUGUAUGACUUAUUUAUGUUUUAGAGUUGUGUUGUGAUAUCUUCCCGUGAGUCCCUGAUCUUGAUCGUACACAUUUGCGUGCAUGAUUAGUGUACGGUCAAAUCGGGGGCGUCACAAGUUGGUAUCAGAGCCGACUGCCUGUAGGAACCCUCUCUCCACACUCCUUGGCCGAAGUCGAGUCUAGUCAGUGAAAACUGUUUUACUAACAUGGCUGUGUGGCUUACGGGCCCACGUCGCCAUUGGGUGGUAUUAGGAUCUUUUACUCCUUGCCUAUACUCUGGGACUCUGAUCUCUCUUCUAUUCGGGUUAAGUGAAUUUUACUAAAUCUAACAUUAGGAUCUCGUUAUCACUUUCACCCGGAGAGCCCCUUAUUACUGAUGAUCGUCUGCUGCACGUGAAGACCCUGAAGAUACUCUCUGCUGAUAACCCGAGGACUUGUGUUCAUCGCUUUUGCAAUUCCCUUUCAUCGAUAAACUCCUAUAGAUAACCAUGUAUACUCGCCAUUCAUACAAUGUUUCCCAGUUGAUCUUGUUAUUACAAGAUACCCCGAAAUUCUCUCUGUUGUUUCGAGAAUCCUUUGAGCUUACUGCCUUGCUGUUCUUUGUCACCUGAAUACCCCUACGGAUAAUUCUCGCACUUACCGAGUAUCCGGUCAUCCCCAGUUGGUUCAAGUAUUCCACAAUAGUCUUCAAAAUACUAUUCGAUCUUUCAAAAAUCCUCAGGAGCCUGUUGCUCUUGAAAUUCUUGUUUGCUUGCAUUAUGGUUAAUCCCAUAAGUCUCGUAAUCUUAUUGGCAUCUCUUGUCAUUAUCAUUUUGAGUCCGUUGAUUCAAUUUGUUGCGAAUGCUCGCAAUCCUCAAUCAUAUCCUAGAAUUCAUUCUUCCGGCUCAGACGUCAUUUUAAACGUGAGCUGGAUCUCGACCUAUCAAAUUGCCAUCGAUUGUACCCCUAAGCCUACUCAACUUAUCCAUCCUUGAUCAGAGCGUUGCUUCUGACCCCCUGAUUUGGAAAUCAUAAUUCUUUUGCAUUUGAACUUUGAGUUACUCAGUUGUUUCUAUAAUCAGAUCUCCUUGCGUUCUUCUUCCUCUGGUUGAGUACCGAUGCUCACAUCAGAUCCCUUGUGGACCAUCGGUUCCUUUGUUGGAUUUUAUCCGACAGUGUCCUCCAUAUUAAAUAAGCCGGUGAGCUUUUCCUCGGCUACAUAAUGCCUUUAGUAAAUUGUAUCCUCUGCUUUGUCAACCAUGCUCUACUUUUGAGCUUGUGUUAUUUACUCCUGAAGUUUGUAGUAUAUCUUUCUACGAUGCCCCGAUGGGUUGAACCUAUGCCUUCCGUAAUCUGUGCGAACCCGAAAGAUUUCACGGGACAUACUUAUCUGGUAUUGCACCAGGUAAAACUUUCGACAACUAAUGUCAUUAUCGAAAUAAGAGAGGCGAAUGGAAGGUUAUGCAUUGAAGAAGUGGGAGUCGACCUGGAACCUUUGUGUUCAUGCCCAUGGACACGAUGUAGAUCCUAUCAUGGAAGCUUCUCUUAUAAUAAUUACCCCCUUGUAAUAAGUUCAUCUGGUAUCCGUGGACGUGGUUCCGACCAUGUUUCUCCUUGAUUCCGUUUCUCGUGCAAGUUUGAGCACUUGUCUUCUGCAGAGCAAUACCCUAGUCCAACCUCUACCUUGAUCUGUCGUCAAGUAUUACCCCCUGGUAUCUCGAGAUUAUCAUGGAACUGCAUAACUUCUUAUGAGUUCUUCAUCAAGUGCUACAUUCUCACUGAUUCCAAUUUUCCACGGGCUCUGAGUUAUUAGUCACUCGAGAACACCGAUAAGUGAAUCGAUUCCGCACUUCGAUUCAAUAACUCUAAGUAAUUCUUGUUGCUUACGAGUUUAAUAAACCUUCAAGUCAUUCCUAGCCUUAUCGGCUAUAUCAUUAUCGUGCUAAAUUAUAACUGUGCUACAUGGUCCUUCUUCCCGAAGCACAAUUUUUGACGAUGAGCUAAGCUUACAUCGAUCUUCCUCAUCAUAUUAGUUCGCCUUGAACAACAAGCUUGAUUUCAAGUUUGUGUCGUACCCCUGGUUCCAUUAACUUUUCGCUUCAUCAUUCCCUUGACUUGAUGUCAUCACCGAUCGAUUACCUCUUCAUAAAUUCUCGCUACAAAUGUGUCGUGAACAUCAUCAACAUUCUGAGCUCUUCCAAGAUAUCUAUCGAAUUCUGGAUGAGAAAUACCAUCCUUGCCCUCGAUGAUUUGUUUUAUCAUCGACCAUUUUAUUGCCUUCCAUUCAACACAAACUUGUUCGUGUUUUGUGUUGUAUCUUGAUUUCCUUGCUAUCUAACUUAUGAUAUGUUCUACCUUGGAGUAUUACCAUCCUUCAAUCACAGGUACGGAGUAGUUUUUAAGAACAAGUAGAAAGUGUCUAAAACUAGCAGAUCAAAGUCUCUUAACAGUGUUUGGUCUUUCAGUUUCCAAAGUCUGUGAAAAUAGCCAUAUUUUCUCUCAACUGGAGCAAUCCUCCCCCUUGCAUGUUUUUAACUAGUUUUCCCAAAAUGGAAUUGCUAGCUUCCUGAGCAUGUUUUGAUCCCUGUUGUGUGUUUAUUUCUGCAAAUUCAAAAAUCUAUGAUCUGGGCAUCUAGUUUUCAGUUUUCCUGUGAUCAUAGACUACUAGUUCAUGCGACCAUAUCCUAGUUCUUCCUAGGGUUUCUCUUGGUUCAUGCUUUUGCGUGAUUUGUUCCUAUUUUCGAUCUGUGUAGAUUUUGGCUUAACUUAGCCUAUGUUGAUGAUCCACUACAGGUCUGUUCUUUCUUCCAGAUUUGUUCCGGCAAGAGAGAGACGACAGGAGGUGAUGAAUGCACAGGAGGGGUGGUGUUUACCUGUGUUUUUUUUUUUUUGCUUCUCCAGCCAUGUUUGUGUUCUAGAUCAUGGAUGAAUCGCUCUCUCUGGUGGCGCUUCUCCAGGGAUAAAUUUGGUACUUUCUCAGUGGAGUUGUAAUGUAAUUCUUUUGUGUGUUUUUAGUGGAAUUACAGUGUAUUUUUAGUGGAAUUACCGUGCAUUUUCAGUGGUUUUUACAUUGUAAUUGUUAGUGGAAUUACAGUGGAAUUUACACUGUAAAUCUUAGUGGGUUUACAGUGUAUUUUUAGUUGAUUUUUGCUCUGUAUUUGCAAGUGGCAUUUUUAGUGGAAUUACAGUGUAUUUUUAGUGGAAUUACUGUGCAUUUGCAGUGGUUUUUACACUGUAAUUAUUAGUGGAAUUUACACUGUAAAUCUUAGUGGGUUUACUUUGUAUUUUUAGUGGAUUUUUGCUCUGUAUGUGCAAGUGGCAUUUUUAGUGGAAUCGCAAUGGAUUUUUAGUGGAUUACUGUGCAUUUUCCGUGGUUUUUACACUAUAAUUAUUAGUGGUAUUUUAGCCCUUUGUAUAGUUGAUUCACAGCAUCAGCAACUGUAAUUUCUCAGUAUUUUAGUGCUCAGAGUGUUAUUCGGCGCUGUGUGGUUAGAUGUCAUCAGUUUUGAUCCUUUUCAUCCUCCUGUAGUUAGCUUAGUCCACCUUUUGUUAGCUUUUAGCUGCUUUCUGUACGGGUUUGGGGCGUGGACCCGUUUAUAGUUUGGUGGGCAGAAAGAAUAGGGGAAUAGAGGAGACGAGACAUGUGACACUUGUCAUCCAUUAGUUGACUGAAAAAUAUGAAUGAAAGCGAAUUAAAUUUCAUCCGGAUGUAGAAUAGACAGUCCCAAAUAAAAAAGCAAUCCAACGGUGUAUCCCGUCAAGCUGUGUAUCCAACUCCACCCUCACGCCGUGUGCCAUGGUUUCCUACAACAAGCACCUGCCGAGCACAAGCAACUCGGCGGGAACGCCGCCACGCUCGCUCCGCAGAGUGCGGCCUCCCCUGUGUCCGCUAUCGUGGCCGUGCCGCCGCCAGGCGCCAACGCAUCAGCGAGGACGUCGCGUUCGAGUCAGGAACGUGAUCGCUACGCGUGCGCUAGCGCUUUGCUGGGCUUCUCUUGGAUCGCAAGGUUCGGUUUUAUGGGAUUUUACGCUUUAGUUCGUAUUAGGAAAGAGUGAUGUAUGUCGAGGCAUUUUAUCUUUUACGUAUAGGAAAGAGUAGGAAAGAGGGUCGAGGAAUUUUAGGCUUUACGUUCCAGGAAAGAGGGUUAGAACUUUACGUUCCAACUUUCGAGGUGGUUUUGGUCGAGGAAUUUUAGGAUGGCAGUUUGGGCUACAGAGCCUCCAACCUGAUCAGGUGCACAAUCCUUCCAUCGGAAGAGGUUUCACUCUCAUUUCAACUCUCUAUCACAAACCUACAGCUCCCAAUGAAUGGCUCCCAGCAGCUCUGCCUCAAAGGAAGGAAUGCUCCAUCAAUAUCCUUCUGUCCAAUUCCAAGCUAUUCUUAUUGCGAGAUUACUCUGCACACGACAAUGUGCAAGAUGAUCUGCAGACGACCUUGUGAUCAAUGGCUGCAGACCACGUGAACUGAGGUGAUCGAUGGCUGCUAUAUCUUAGUCAUCCAGAAAUCUUGCACAGCCCAUCGUUUGUGUAUCAGUUCUCUAUUCUUAUUGACUCUAUUCACUUGCCACUCCCCUUAAGCUGCCAAUUUUGUUCGAAUUCUAAUUCUAAUUUAUAGAUUUUCUUAUUUGGGGUUUAUACAAUUCAUAAACGGACCAUAGACGUAGUCAAAGCACACACAAAUAGUUCUUUAAAGUUGAGAUAAUUAAGGUUUACAAUUCAUAGAGUGACCAUAAGACAUAGUGCAUAUUUGACUACUUACAAGCAAUCAAAACAAAGCUGAAAAAGCUCACAUGAAUAGUUGGAUAAGGUUGAGAUAAUUAAGGUUUACAAUUCAUACACUGACCAUAGGACAUGGUGCAUAUUUGACUACUUGCAAGCAAUCAUAAGUAAGAAAGCUAACAAAGCACACAUGAAUAGUUGGAUAAGGCUGAGAUAAUUAAGGUUUACAAUUCACACACUGACCAUAGGACGUGGUGCAUAUCUGACUACUUGCAAGUAAUCAAAACAAAGCUGAAAAAGCUCACAUGAAUAGUUGGAUAAGGUUGAGAUAAUUAAGGUUUACAAUUCAUACACUGACCAUAGGACAUGGUGCAUAUCUGACUACUUGCAAGUAAUCAAAACCAAAGCUGACAAAGCUCAUACGAAUAUAUAGUUGGAUGAAGCGGAGACAAUAAGUCUGACUAGCCCUAGCCCUAGCCCUCUGCAAUAAAUUCAUCAUUAAGCGCCGGGUCCUCAGCAAUAAAUUCCUCAUUAAGCUUCAGGCCCAAAGCAAUAAAUUCCUCAUUAAACCUAGCACCAUAUACUCCAGUAAGAAGUCCUUGCAGAAAAUGCCUGAGAUCAUCAUCAAGAAGAGGCCGCUGUCACACCGAAAAAAAAGCAAGUUAAGCAUACAACCACCCAAAAGAAUACUACUACGUAUAACAAUUUGUGAUUGGUAAAUUUACCCUAUUAAUAUCAUACUGGUGAUAAUGAGCUAUGACUACUUUGGCAAAGUGCAAGGCUCCAAAAACUGUUUGAGCAAACCCCACCCCCCGGGUAACUUCAAUUUGAUGGUCCAGAAUCGCUGUAAGAGACGGGUCUCCAACAUUGCGUUGCCACCCCUGUAAGAAGAUAUGUUUCUCCAACCAAUCUAUUUGGUCAUCGGUAAAAAAAAUUCCUUUUUCAUAUAAUCUUUUAUACUUGCUCUCCCUAACGUGGGGGACUGUGACUAGGAAUGGAUGAUCGAGGACAUCUUGUUUCCUGCCAUAUUAAUAACAGUAGGGUUAACUUUCUGCCAUAUUAAUAACAAUAGAGUUAACUAAAGAUGAUGGAGAUGAUGGUUAAUGUUAGAAGAGUUGGCUAGUGCAUACCUUAUGUUUAUAUUUGGGUUAAUGAGGAAUGCAUUGAAGUGCGCUAGUUCAAUAUCAUCUGGCCAAUGUUGCAAAAUAUUGGUCUGUAUCAGUAGUUGCAAACCCUGCCUAGGUGUCAUCACAUCAUCAGGAGUCCUUCCACGAACUCGGAAUGGCAUAAUUUGGAUCAUAUUCUCAUUAAUAGCGUAAGUUCCAAUAUCUUCCACAUUAUCUACUGUCCACUGUUUGUCCCAAAUCAAAAAGACUACUAAUAUAUGGGGCAAAUACAAGUGUACGAGGCAAUGUAAAGUGACAUGGAGAUAAAAGGAUUGAUAAGCAAAUGUAAUCUCUAGAGAAUAAAGAGGGGAGAAGGAUGGCCAUACCUAAUACUAUUUCUUAACUGAUCACGAACGAACAUACUGUUAUCUGGAUUUGCUAUCCAGGAGAGCACACUUUGUUGAGAGCGAGCAAAGGCAAUGAUUGUUUUUCCAAUUAGGGUAUUAUAGGCCACGCCGUAGGUCUUAACAAUCCCUACAUCAAUGGAUGGAUUUAGCCCCAAUGGGUUUAGCUGACCAAAAGGCACUUCAUUCAGAACCCAGAAGGUGGCAGCUCGUUUCUGCAGUUCCUCUUAGUCAAAUCCUUGUUCUAUAUCCGCAGCAAACUUUAUUGCCUUGCUUGAAUAAUAGAUAUAACCAUCUUUAAAUCCAAGUUCUGCAGUUUGUGGACAGCUAAAUUCGUAGGGCUGAAUAAGAGUGCCACACCUCCUAGCAUUAGUACGAAAGUUUCUGGCUUCUCUGCAUCUCUCAAAGAUGGUUUUCUCGUUCCU
rnacentral:lncRNA from 1 species